ACAGCUGCAAGGGAUGAUUGAAUUCUGUAGGUGGAUUGAUUGAACGAUGAGACUAGUCUAACUCUUUUGCUUUCUGUUGCUGCUAAAACAGUUGAAAAGGAAGUUAUGAUCUCAAAGCUAAGCCUAAUGAUGAAAGUGUAUCAGUUAUGUCAUCUGACGCACAGAUUGUUGAUUGGCAAGGAAAUGAUUAUCUUUCUAAUUUCUAAAUAUAUACUCCCUCUGUCAGGAAAUACUUCCAUUUUUAUCCAUUUCUCCGAUAAGUAUUUUCGGAUGGAGUAUUUUGUUAGUACUACUCAAGUAUUGUAUGUUACUUCCUUUCUGAGAGUUGCUGUUUUCCUCACAUUUUGCAUGAAUCCCUUCCAACCAGUACAUGAAAUGGAGGAGCAUCUCAAGGGGAAAGUGAAAGAAAGGAAUCAAAUAAUAGCAGAUGAAAAUCAGAAGCUGCACGCAUUGAGGUGAACUGCAGUGCCUUGAACCUAGAGAAAAGAAAGUAGAGGCAAUGAUCGCUGAGGCUUCGAAUUUGUGUUCGGAAGCUGCUUCAGUAAGGACUGCUGCCACAGCAGAACAGCAGAAGAUUCACGCAAAAUUCAACAACAUUGUGAAGGCGUUCAACACCUACAUGGAUAGCGUUGGCCCUUUCCUCGAGCAAGUCUAGGAGAUUGGCAGGCCAGCAGCUGAGGAUUUCUGAUCGAAUGAUCCAGUUUGCUGUUUCCGAAUGUGGAGGCAACUGGCAGGGGAUGGAGCCUCUGUUCCCGACCCAUCUGCCGCCGUCACAACAAAAACCACGUCCAGAGCCAGUGCAAUGAGCAAGAAGUCGAGGGCUCGGAAAAGGACAUGAGCUGUGGUUCUUACCAGUGCAUGGAGGGAAAACCCAGUAAAUAUCUCUGUUUAUGUGGGCAUGGUGCUGUAGUGGUGCCUCUAGCUGCUAUUUAUGCGCUGGUUCGGUUCGGGGCUAGUUAUUGAUCGAGGUAACCGAAUGCUGCCGAUGUUAUUUUCUACUCCUUCCAUUCGGAAAUAAAUGACGUGGUUUUAGUUUUUGACACUUCAA